AGCUUUUUUUAGACAUUUUUAGACCUGGAAAGUGAUAAAAUUGCACAUUUUCUGAGCCUUUAAAAAUGAGCCCAUUUAACACCCAAAACACUUAAUUUCCCUGUAAACCGCUGGAUCUAACUGCUCAUGGUUGUAGCAAACAGACUUU